AAAAAAAAAAAAAAAAAAAAAAAAAAAAAAAAAAAAAAAAAAAAAAAAAAAAAAAAAAAAAAAAAAAAAAAAAAAAAAAAAAAAAAAAAAAAAAAAAAAAAAAAAAAAAAAAAAAAAAAAAAAAAAAAAAAAAAAAAAAAAAAAAAAAAAAAAAAAAAAAAAAAAAAAAAAAAAAAAAAAAAAAAAAAAAAAAAAAAAAAAAAAAAAAAAAAAAAAAAAAAAAAAAAAAAAAAAAAAAAAAAAAAAAAAAAAAAAAAAAAAAAAAAAAAAAAAAAAAAAAAAAAAAAAAAAAAAAAAAAAAAAAAAAAAAAAAAAAAAAAAAAAAAAAAAAAAAAAAAAAAAAAAAAAAAAAAAAAAAAAAAAAGGCUGGCUAGCUACUUUUUAAAAAGAGACUUUGUUCUAAGUUGAGCAUAAUUAGUCCUGACAAAUGGGCUAAUCACAAUGCCGUGCAAUUCUGGAUAAACUCCAAACCUCUAAAGCUUUUUGUUUUGUAUUGAUAAAACAAAGGCUUUUGGUAUGAAAGACCAAUAAAUUACCCCAACAUGGUUUGAUAACAAGGCUUUGAUAAAUAAAAUUACACAAGUCAUAUGGGAUAUGACUAAAAAAUUAAUUCUGUAAAUAACAGUAGCAUUGGGCAUAUGGGGUAAUAAGAAGAAAAUUUAGAGCGAUGCAUACUGCCUAAAUAGCCCACAUAUUUGAAGUAUGACUACAGGGAGUAACAGAGGUGACUUUCAAUGUCCUCGUAGUUCUUACUUCAGUGAGGCUUUUCCUCAGACUCCUUUUUGUUUGUCGGUUUUUUUGUUCUGAUCACACUUUUUUACUGGUAAUUACUUCUUUGAGGAAUAGACAUUUAAGCAUUACAUGGACAU
rnacentral:lncRNA from 1 species